AUGGGGUGGCGCGGGCCUCCGGGGCUGGUGGACAGCGCGCCCGCCAAGGCCAUCGUGGUGUACCGCAACGGGGACGCCUUCUUCGCGGGCCGGAGGUGCGUGCUGUCGCGGCGCCGCGCGGCCACUUUCGAGGCGCUGCUGGACCAGCUGACGGAGCAGGUGGAGGUGCCGUUCGGGGUGCGGCGCCUGUUCACGCCCACGCGCGGGCACCGGGUGCUGGAGCUGCAGGCGCUGCAGGCGGGCGGCAAGUACGUGGCGGCAGGCCGCGAGCCCUUCAAGAAGCUCGAUUAUAUUCAUAUAGUGCCCAGAAAACCUACAAAGAUGAGAAAGUUGAAGGAAAUCAAACCAGUGGUACAUUGUGAUAUGAUUGUGCCGUCCAGGUGGCAGACAUUUCAUCGUACAUCUCGACACGUUAAUGUUUUCACAAAUGGAAGACUGUUUAUCCCACCUGUAAAGAUUAUCAUACCCAAGUUCACUCUGACCGAAUGGAACAGCGUGCUGGCCACAAUUGGGGAAAAAGUCUUCCCUCUAGGAGGCGUGCGAAAAUUAUUUACCAUGAACGGGCAUCUUUUGGACAACUCCAAGGAUCUGCAAGACAACCACUUUUAUGUUGCUGCAGGACUGGAGACCUUCAAAUAUUUCCCUUACUGGAAAUCCUCAAAGGUGCCCAGUGAGGUCCAACAAAAGUAUACGGACAUCGAGAAGUACUCACGAAGGAAGAAAAUAGAGGAUUCCCAAGGAAAAGAACCUCAUAAAUACAACAUUUCCCGUAAGGAACAGGAUUCUGUGUUUUAUGCCAAAGAGGGGAAGAAGAAAAUGCUGGUAGACUCUUUAAUCCCAAACGGCGCAGAAGGCGACGUGUACAAAGCGCAGACUCCUAGCACGGAAACCCAGGGAGCGCCGGAAGUCAGAGAAGACAAGGAUGUGCAGGUGGAGGUGCCCGUGGACCAGACACCAGCUGAGAUAGUUAAGGAAGAUGAAGAGUUCCACAAUAACCCCCCUGAUCUUGAAAGCAACAAGGAAAAAGAAGAUGAAAGUCCUUAUGAAGAUAAUGAAAGAAAGGAAGACAAUUCACGAAUGUCUUUUAAGAAAAGCUUUCCCUUAAGACAGAACACAAAGAAAAAAGCAUCUCUCAAGAACCUCAGCAAGAAUAAAAAAGUGGUUCCAUUUCCUGAAAAAGAACCAUAUGGCAUUCUAGAGGAAAAAAACACACCUGCACUACUAGAACCCGCAGUAAAAACAGAAGACCAAAGCGAACCACCCAUGGGACAAGAACCACAAGAAUCAUCAUCAAGACAAUCAGAAGAAGAAUAUGAGGAACAAGAAUUGCUCAAGCAGCCAUCCUUGGGGCAAGCAUCCCAAGAACAGGUGCCCAAGGAACAAGAAUCCCUGGAACAGCCAUCCUUGGGACAAGAAGAGAUGACCCAGGGAGAAAAAAACUAAACAACAAAAACCAUGAAAACAAAAUAUCAGCCACGUUGUAAAGAACAACAGUCAGAAGCUAGAAAGGACCAGAAGGCAAAUGAAAAUAAAAUUAGACAUUUUUUUUCACAUUAUACUGAAGAGAUGGCCUGGGAGUGGAUACCAAUAAACUAAAAAAAAUCACCUUUAUAUCUACUUGACAUCAGUUUUUCUUCAAUCAUCGUGCUUCCAUCUCACAUAUGGACAUUUUAACAGCGAGAAAAUCACAUCUGGAUUGAAAUAAGCCCAUACACUCUGUCUUCUCAAAAGCUAAAGAGGAAGAUUUUCCAAUGGAUUCCAUAGUGUUCUAAUCUUUUCUUGGUGGUAUUUCUUUUUAGUAAACAUUUAAAAGCAUGAAA